AAUAUAUACACUCCCAGUCCAAGGUUUGGACACACUUUCUCUUUCAUUUCAAUGAGAAAAUGUGUCCAAGCUUUUGACUGGGAGUGUGAUAGUUCAGUAAAUGCUGUCAGGUGUCGUGACUCUGGUUGCUUUAUGCAGUGAAUUUAUUUAUUAAAAUCACUGGAUCUUUCAUAACUAUCUAUUUAACACUGUUGUGUUGAACUGCAUUAGAUUUCACUGGUGUUUCCUCUUCUAGUGAUGUUUGAUUGUAAAGACAUAAAACUAUCAGUAAAAGGUAAAAACCAGCAGGUGGCAGCACAGGAGCACAGCUAAUCCAACAACUAGUGAUGGUUUUCACUCUUCAGUCUGAUCUUUAUACUCUAAAUGACUGCAGCAGGUUCUGGACAUUUGUUCCUUCUGUCUCAUUUUUGUUCACUGUGGUUCAUUUUUCAACCUAAAGUCCUGCAGCUCUGUGGAACCAGAACACCAUGAAGAAGGAGACAGAACUCAGAGAUGUCUUCUGUCAGUAGGUCUCAGAAUAAAGACAGACUGUGUUUUAAGACCAGAAGUUCAGAGAGUUACAGACUAUCUGAUGGCAGGUGUAAUAUUAGGAACAAACUGGACUCAACUGCUUUGUAUAAACUUCCAUUGUUGACAGAUUACUGGUCUGACUGUAUAAAUGUCUCCACAGCAUGUUCUGGUCCAGGUUCUGGUUCUGGAUGGUGUUGGUGGCUGCGUUCGCUGUCCCCCCUCUGGCUAAAGAAUACAUCACAGCUGUCGUUGGACAGAAUGUGAUUCUACCAUGUAAAGUUCCCAACAACAACAAAACUAUCAGAGCUGUAGAAUAGAGCAGACCUGGGCUGGAUCCAGAAUAUGUUCUCCUGUACCGGGAUGAAUGCUUAGAUGUAGACAACCAGCAUCCAUCUGAUAAGAACCGGGUGGAUCUGCAGGACAAAGAGAUGAAGGAUGGAGACGUUUCUCUGGUUCUGAAGGAUGUGACGAUGGAGGACGCUGGAAGAUACGAGUGUUAUGUUCUUCAGGGAGAAACAACCUCUAAAACCGUCCACCUGGAAGUUCAUCCACCAGGAAAGAAGAAUGAAAACAUCAGAGUAGGAGUGAACAAGGUUGGAGGAAACAAGGACGGAGCAGACAAGGAUGGAAUCAUUGUAGGAGCAGCAGUGGGUGUGAUUCUUCUUCUUGCUGUGGCUUUGGUUGCUUUUCUGAUCUGUAGACAACACAUGAGGAAGAAUCCCAACCUCCCAGUUCCUCCUGAUGAUGAAGCAGCAGCUGAACAGAUGUUAUGAAACAAAGACAUGAAAGUUUUUCUGGACAGCAGCAGAACAAAGCACAGCUUCUGUAACUCUGAUGGAACCAGCAGCAGCAGAACAAAGAGAAUCCAGGUGUGGACCAACCAUGUGGUCUCUCCUUUAACUGCCACCUUAUGGUGGUGGAGGGUUUGUGAGCUCAGAGGAUGCUGGGAGAUCUGCUGUCUGGAGUUCAGCUCCUGGUAGGGUUUCUAUUGGCAGACUGGUCCCAGAUGAUGAUCCAGACUAAGAGCAGUUUUCCUCCCUGCAACAUUUUAAUCUGGUUCAUGGUCAUGUAGAAUAUUUUAGCUGUGAAAUAUCAGAAACAUAAACAGACUUUAGAAACAGAUCCUGAACCUUCUGAACCCUGAGCAGGGAGGUGAGUUUGAAAUGCAUGUUGUCUUUCAAGUGAAUUAUCAUAAUUGCUCCAUUUAUAAGAACGUACAACUGUCAAAACAGAAUCACCUGAUUUUUAACUUUCCAAUGGUCCUUGAACUACUCACCCAUCAGGAUACGUCACCAAAUCUGAGACGAAAAUUCAGAUGUUUCAUGAAAACCAAGACAAAUAUCUGAUUUUCUGUGACAAGAUUAUAACAUUCCAUUAAUGACUCAUCCACACCAACAGUCGUAUGAAAACUACUCAGAGGUUUCGGUUGAACUGCAGGCAGUGUUUACACAGAGCAGACGAGAUGAACAUAGACACAAAUUAAAAACAUAAAUAUUGAGAGUUUAUUUCCAGUGUUUCAGCUGUUAGUUGAUGUUCUGAACUGUUUACAGGAUAAAUGUGGAACCAUUUUUAUGUAUUUUAUAUAUUUUUUAUACUGCUGAGGGGUUUGUAGGUUGAUCUUCGUAAUAUAUUCUGUUUUGCUGUUAAUCUGCAGAGAAAAUACAGAUAAAUGUAGUGCAAUAAAAUGCAUGUUAUUUGCUACUGAACUGUAGUAAAGGUUGAAUAGAAUAUACAUUUAUUGUACUGUUAGAAUGUACUGAGGUACUUCAGAGUAAUGAUUGUUUAUACUGUAACAGACUGUAAAUAAUGAACUUUUUUGCACUUCUGGUUUGAUGCCAAACUCAUGGUCUUGGUACUUUUCCUCUCUGCAAUGACAAAGUUGAAUCUAAUUAGUGGUCUGUGGUUCGUUAUAAUUUCUAUAUCUAUAAAUGUACACACAUUGAUACUCCCUCAAACAUUAGCUGUUAGCAGCUCUGCUAAUGUUCUGGUUCAUGGUAUUCGUUCUGACACAACAUGGUGAUGAUGCUUGGAUGAUUUUUACUGAUUUAUUAUUGCAGAGAAUAAAAAAAUACAUUUUUAACUGAAA